rnacentral:rRNA from 1 species
UACGUAGGUCCCGAGCGUUGUCCGGAUUUAUUGGGCGUAAAGCGAGCGCAGGUGGUUUAUUAAGUCUGGUGUAAAAGGCAGUGGCUCAACCAUUGUAUGCGUUGGAAACUGGUAGACUUGAGUGCAGGAGAGGAGAGUGGAAUUCCAUGUGUAGCGGUGAAAUGCGCAGAUAUAUGGAGGAACACCGGUGGCGAAAGCGGCUCUCUGGCCUGUAACUGACACUGAGGCUCGAAAGCGUGGGGAGCAAACAGG